rfam:Gossypium raimondii Chr10_contig_36, whole genome shotgun sequence.
UAUUAAAAAAAUAAUCCAUUUUUACAGUUAAAAACUAACGUGGUUGAUGAAAUAACUAAACAGUUAUGCCACGUGUACUUCAUGCUAAUGUAGGGACCAAUAUUUAAGAAUAGAAGUUGAUGAAAUUUUUAAUA